GAUGGGCUUGGAAAUUUAGGUGGUGUUUUGGGGGUGGGCCUCUCUGUGUGAACAUGGAAAGAAGAUCCUUCACAUGGAUGCAAUCAAAUACUGAAAUUCCAAUCAAUACUCUCUUUUCAUUUACCUUUUUUUCCUAAAUCAAAUCUCUCUAAAUUAAUAUUAGAAAGUAGUCUCUACUGAUUUUCAAAUAAUUGAUUAAUAAAUUCAUUGCAUAUCAA